rnacentral:rRNA from 1 species
AUUGAACGCUAGCGGCAUGCCUUACACAUGCAAGUCGAACGGCAGCACGGGGGCAACCCUGGUGGCGAGUGGCGAACGGGUGAGUAAUACAUCGGAACGUACCCAGUAGUGGGGGAUAACGUAGCGAAAGCUACGCUAAUACCGCAUACGCACUACGUUGGAAAGCGGGGGAUCGCAAGACCUCGCGCUAUUGGAGCGGCCGAUGGCAGAUUAGCUAGUUGGUGGGGUAAAGGCCUACCAAGGCGACGAUCUGUAGCUGGUCUGAGAGGACGACCAGCCACACUGGGACUGAGACACGGCCCAGACUCCUACGGGAGGCAGCAGUGGGGAAUUUUGGACAAUGGGGGCAACCCUGAUCCAGCAAUGCCGCGUGUGUGAAGAA